rnacentral:rRNA from 1 species
AACGCGAAGAACCUUACCUGGACUAGAAUGUGAGGGAAGGUCGGUUAAUGCCGUCCGUCCGGGAAACCGGACCCAAAACAAGGUGCUGCAUGGCUGUCGUCAGCUCGUGUCGUGAGAUGUUGGGUUAAGUCCCGCAACGAGCGCAACCCUUAUCAACAGUUGCCAUCAUUAAGUUGGGAACUCUGUUGAGACUGCCGUUGAUAAAACGGAGGAAGGUGGGGAUGAUGUCAAGUCAUCAUGGCCUUUAUGUUCAGGGCUACACACGUGCUACAAUGGCCGGUACAAAACGUCGCAAUCCCGCAAGGGGGAGCUAAUCGCAAAAACCGGUCUCAGUUCGGAUUGAAGUCUGCAACUCGACUUCAUGAAGUUGGAAUCGCUAGUAAUCGCAAAUCAGCAUGUUGCGGUGAAUACGUUCCCGGGUCUUGUACACACCG